UACGGAGGGGGCCAGGGUUGCACGGAAUUACUGGGCGUAAAGGGCGCGCAGGCGGAACACACAGUCAGACGUGACAGCCCCGGGCUUAACCUGGGAAUAGCGUUUGAUACUUGUGAUCUGGAGUCUCGGAGAGGGUGGUGGAAUUCCAAGUGUAGAGGUGAAAUUCGUAGAUAUUGGGAAGAACACCAGUGGCGAAGGCGGCCACCUGGACGAGUACUGACGCUGAGGCGAGAAAGCGUGGGGAGCAAACAGG
rnacentral:rRNA from 1 species